rnacentral:rRNA from 1 species
AUGAAUGUGCUCCGGCUUGAAUCUCGCGUUGCAGCUGUCGUCGACUAUCUUGCAAGGCUGAAGGUUGCAACUUCUCGCAUCGACACAACACUCUGGCCAAGAGAGACGCUCCAGAACGACCUCGAGUGUCUGAUGACUCGACUGAACGAGGUCCCAAGUCGAGUGCAGGAGUGGAAGAAGUCUUCUGCCAGGUGUGGCACAGAUGUUGCUCUGUCUCUGGUCCGCAUUCACUGCAAGGAUGCACGAGAGGAUAAGCUGGUGGCCCUUAGGGUAGCUAACACCAAGAAGCAUGAUUUUCGAUCUUUCAUGGAGACCUUCAUCGCCGCUGCCACUCGGAUUGCAGAUGGUAUCGACCUUGAUGAGUUCGUUGCACCUUCCAGCCCUCCACGGGAGGGGUAA